UACGUAGGGUGCGAGCGUUAAUCGGAAUUACUGGGCGUAAAGCGUGCGCAGGCGGUUAUGUAAGACAGUUGUGAAAUCCCCGGGCUCAACCUGGGAACUGCAUCUGUGACUGCAUAGCUAGAGUACGGUAGAGGGGGAUGGAAUUCCGCGUGUAGCAGUGAAAUGCGUAGAUAUGCGGAGGAACACCGAUGGCGAAGGCAAUCCCCCUGGACCUGUACUGACGCUCAUGCACGAAAGCGUGGGGAGCAAACGAGG
rnacentral:rRNA from 1 species